CAAAUCCUAAUACAGUCUCAAAUUUCCAAACCAUGGUCGAAAAAACCUUUUUUUUAGCCGUAUGAAUGAAUCAUAUUGAACCUAUCGAAUUUCAUUGAGUCAUCAUUGUCAAACUGCAACGUCAGAUCGCGUUUAAUAAAAGAGUCGACAAAUUAAAUAAGUAGUUGCACGAAAAGUCGGUCGAUAUAAGAAAGGUCGAUAUUGAAAAGAGGGUUUUUGAUUCAACUCGGAUCAAAAUCGAUUACUUGGGGUCAAAAAUCAUAUCAAAUCGAAAGAGGUAAUCCAAUUCGAAGGAGGAGAAGAUAAUCGGACUCUAAUAAUAUUGUGUUAUUGCUACAGUCGCCGAAUUUUGUGCAUAUUUCCCUCAAUAAAAUCGAAUGUUUACACAAAAUUAAAUAAACAUUCGGUUUUGGACAAGACAAGUUGAUGUCAAUAAGGUUACUCACCGCAAUUACAGUCGAUCAAAGUCACCGUUAUGGAAAAACAGUGGAAAAGCCAAUUGAAAACAUGGAAAGAGUUGAGGGAUCAGUCAGAUAUGCUGAUAAAACGAACACUGGAAAAACAUUUUCCAUGCGAUUAUGCGAGUCCACGACCGGAAAUGGCUCACACAUCAUAUCAACAAGCGGAAUCGUCGAUUGGUCGUGCGUUGUGGGUUUAUGCACGUGCUGAUCUAACCAUAAAAGGCAUUCAAUUACAACCAAAAGGGCCGCGAAACAAAUAACCUAAAAAUCAAUUGAAUAUUUUUUUGUAAAUCAGCGACGAAACGGAGUAAUAAAAUUACACGAAAUUUAGAA